rnacentral:lncRNA from 1 species
AUUAACAUACACUAUAACAAUAUAUCAUUUUACCAGACCACGGUUUGCGGAAGUAGUCAAGAAGACAAUAUUAUGUUUUUCAGGGGUUGACAGGAUACACGUGAUCGUUGUUAGUUUCAACUUCAAUAUUAUUAUGCAAGCAGAUGUAAUAAACAAUGAUUUCAUACAUUAUUUUUUUUGUUUACACUCUAUAUAGGGCUUUAUUUAUGAUCUUAUUCCAGAGUGCACAAUUCUUAUUCUACAUAUUUCACCUUUAUCAAAAUUAGGAAAUCUGUUUGGUCGUCCCAUUUUG